UGACUUGCCGAUGUAGUCGCGUAAAGCCU
rnacentral:piRNA from 1 species